GUCUACAGCUAUACAACCCUGAACGUGCCUAAUCUUGUCUGAUCUCAGAAGCUAAGCAGGAUCCGGCCUGAUUAGUACUUGAAUGGGAGACAUUUUUUUAAACAGAAAACAUAAAGA
rnacentral:rRNA from 1 species